AUGGCGUCCGCGUCGCCGUCGUGGGUCAUCCUGGGCCGCGUGGCCAAGGUGUCCGCCGCCGACGCCGAUCUUCCUCCGGGCGCCGACCUCUCCCUCGCGCUGCCGGCGCCGCCGCGCGUCGCGCUCCUCACCAUCCCCCCGCGCAUCUUCCCGGGCCAAACCACCUCCGACAACUUCCCCUCCGUCCUCACCGUCGACCGCUCCGGCCUCCUCCUCCUCCACGCCUCCCAGAGCCCCGCCGCGGGCCCCGCCGUCAUCGACCUCCCCGGCCGCCAGGAGGUCUGCUGGCGCCCAUUCGUCGCGGGCUACUUCGUCCUCGACUCCAAAUCCGCCUCGGCCUUCCCGCUCCCCAACCCCGAGCGCAUCAUGAACCCGGGCCGCCUCGGCCUCAUCGCCUCCCACGAGGGCGCAGGCCGCUACAUGGUCGCUGAGCUCCAGCCGAUCGCCGGCGGCGAGCAAGCCGACCUCCUCUGCUUCUCGUCGCAAUCCGGGCAGUGGGACAGGAAGACCGUCGCCUACCCGCUUCCGUCCCGCUCCCGCCCCUUGACCCCCAACGGCGUGGUCUCGCACUCCGGGAGGCUCUGGUGGGUCGACCUCUCCUGGGGCCUCAUCACCUGCGACCCCUUCGCGGACGCGCCUGUGCUGAGCUUCGUCCCACUCCCGCCGCGCAAGGCGCUCAAGUACGGGGAAGAUUGUGCAGUGCUCGACAAGUACUGCCGCGUGGCUGUCAGCCGGGGCAAGCUCCGGUUCGUGGACAUGUACAAGAACCGUAGCAGCUUUGGCUCUGCACAGAUCAGCGUGUGGACGCUCGCCGAUCCGGACUCCACCGAGUGGACGCUGGAGUAUGAAGCGACCUUCUCGGAGAUCUUUAAUGAUGUGAGCUUCAAGGCGACUCGUCUGACAAGGCAGCUCCCGGUGCUGGCGCUCAUCCAUCCCAGGGACCCCGACGUGGUCUACUUCUUCCUGGACAGACACCUGUUCAGCGUCGACGUGCCUGACCGCAGGGUCGUGCAGUGCGAGCUCUACGAGCUGGUUGAGGAGCUAUCCGGCAAAAGCAUCGCCACCCGUUUCGUUCACGCUUGGAGGCUGCCACCGGCUCUCCGCUCAGCUGCGGAUGCCGUUUUGGAGAAGGAAAACGCGGAAGGAAAUCAAGAAAUCGUUGAUGCCGCUGCAUCUCAACUAGCCAAACUGAAGUUGAAAUCGGUGGCGGCGACACGCCUGAGUCCAAGCGGCGUAGGCUAG
rnacentral:rRNA from 1 species